CGACGCCGUGUCCGCCGAUAUCCGGAAUGCCACUGCCUGCUUCCCCACCGCUCCCGGCGCUGGCACCGGCGUCGUGUUCUGCAUUGCAUGCCUCAUUAUUAUAUGUUUGAGACGAGCGAGCCGGGAUAGAAAAAUGAAAGUAACAUUGGAUAGAGGGAGUAUGACAUGUAUGAAUAUAAAUAAAAGAGGGAUCCGAUUCCGAUCCAUACCUUGAAAGUGAUGUUCUUGGCUAUAAAAUAAGGGGAAUUAACUGCAAAAGUAGCGGAGCCGUAUGUGCCGAGGGGUCGGCCGUUGGGGCCGAGUGUUUGCGCCGUGUCGCCCCAUUCAACUAUUGUUUUGUCGGCUCCCGCCCCUUCUAUCGUUAUGAACGAUUUCAACUGAGGGGAAAGACUGACGAGUAGAGGCCUGCAUGAACCGUGAUGACUACUCGGACAAGAUUGACGGGAGGGAGAGAAUCGAUGGCGUCUUGAAUGGUCGUGAAAUCUCCUCUCAGCGGAUUCUUGUCGACCGUGAGAGUGUAU